ACCAAAAAUCUUCUCUCUUCCACAUUUACCUUCCCUCUCUCUUUCCCAUCUUCCUCUGCCGCGGCAAGGUACUGGCACAUGAGGUAUCUUGACCUCUGCCUCGGCAAGCCGGCGCUGAAGCCUCUUCCUCUGUCAACUAACUCCUUUGCCACCCUCAAGUCCUCCGACGACAACUUCCCCAGGCAUCUCCUUUAUUAUUAUUAUUAUUAUUAUUAUUAUUAUUAUUAUUAUAUAUUUGUUCUCUUCUUCUUCUUGACAGCGUUGUUCAUCCCCAUGGAUGACUCAAUCAGAAAGGAGAGGGGAAAAUCAGUGGGUAGGGCCUAUCUUUGGGCGAGAGCGACUUGAGAAAAGCCAAGGUUUGGGAGUUUAGAGCAGCAAUGUCAUCGUUGGCUUAGACUUGAUGGACAACAACAGUAUGUUGAAUCCAUGUCAGUCUUGGAGUAAAUGAAUGAUUGUGGCUCAUUUACUGGCUUGGCGUGGCUUUAUUGUGACAGUUCAAAAAACCGACACUCAGCUAGUAAAAGGGAAAGCCCUUUUUUUUUUGGGGGGGGGGGGGGGGGCGCGGGGGUGGUGAGCUACUUACCCUUUUGAAUGUAGAUGCUGACGCCUGAAGGCAUUAUUUGUAUGCGAGCUCAACUUUCGCAUAUUUUGGUUUGGUUGUGUCUUGUCUUCCUUUCAGAAUUGUACUUGAGGUUUCAUACGUUUCCUCAUUGCCUCCUAAUUUCAAUAUGAAUUUUGACGAAUUAACACAUGCAACGACUUCUAUUGUAUUUUUUUCUCCCCAAAUAAGGACUACAACCAAAGAUGUGGGCAGAAGCUCGGACUGGCUGGUUUGCUGAGUUUGGAGGUCCAGUUCCUCACUGACCUGCUGAACACAUGGCAUUUUCAGUUGCGAGGUUUAUCCAGACAGGUUUAUCUUUUGUUAAUUAUUACAUGUUAAAUUAUGAGAUUGAGUUCAUUUGUUUUGUUUGUUCCAGAAUCAUGGGGGAAAAAAUUUUGGUUGAACUGCUGGGGGUCCAUUCAUUGCUCCAAGCUAUGAUUAUGAUGCUCCUCUUUAUGAAUGUGGUAUUCAUAAAGUAUUCUGAACCCUUGCAUGACUCAGAAGCUUUUUUUUUUUAAGCACUCUCUAACUAAGCACUUCUGCUUUCUAUUUAGAAGAUAUUGGUGCAAUCUCCACUGUCACCUGUUGAAGUCAUAUCAGUCAUUUCACUACUGUUACUUCAAAGUAAACCAUAAAGCCAAAGGCAUUUUGAAUCACUUUUAUAUCUUGUUAUUCUUUGUAAUAAUUUCUGAUAUUUACCUUUUACAUAUGACUUGAUCCUCGGAAUUUUGAGUCUUUAAAGUUUAUGGAGUUCUACACAAAGUAUUAGUGCUUUACAUUUACUUGUCUUCAUUUAUACAAGACAAAAUUUUAUGAUGUAGAACUUCAUGAAUGCCAUUCUUUGGAUUUAUAUGCAUGUGUUUCUCCUAAAUGUCAUUGUUACCAGAAUGAUAUAAAUAAGCCAACCAAUUGCAAUAUGGUGUGACAAUAAAGUAAUCCAAUGCACAUAAUGUUCAUAAACAUACGCCUGAGUAAAAGUGAAAUAUUGUUAUACGGCUUGUUGUGAUAUUGAUAGUGUUAUUUAUGGUGCAUGUCUAAGGGGGAGUCUGAUGAUAAUGUCUUUAUGGCAGAAGAAGAAAGUUGAAGUCAAGAGGCUCUUGUAGAUUCAACUCAUACAUAUCAUAACUCAAGUGAUCUACAAGAAAAUGUUGAUCAAGAGAUUCUCCUAAAAGAUUGAAUGAAAAUGUGAUUGUAUUUUGAAAUAUAUUUAUGGCCAUCCCUUUCAUUUGUUUUUUGUUCUAUAUCUUUUUUUAAUACUUGGCAGGAAGAUAGAUCAAAACUAUGGGAAUUAAUAUUUUUCAUUGAAAUUGUUGUUCAUUUUUCUCCUUGAUAUAUACUUGUCGUACAAGGAAAAUUCAAUUGUAAUCUAUGUAAAACUGUUGAAUGAGCUUCAUUUAUAGGUAAAUAUGACUUGGUAUA